CAGUCCUGUUGUUCGUUGUUCGGCUCAAUUCGCUCCAACCUUCCAGCAGGCGUUUCUUACGUACGUGACCUAUGACUCGACCGGUGAAUGUGGAGGGGGAGUUUGCCUCGGCCGUGAAUCAUCAGGCAAAGAAACCCGAGGUGACUUACAUUACGAUCGGAAAAUGCUCACGCGGAACAUUCGUCUCCAAUGGAUGUGGACAUCCAUGAUGGACAUGCGAUACUCCAUUUCAACCAAAAUUAGGAGCAAUGGAGCUCUGUCCACUUGUUGUACACUCGGGGACAGUGAAUCUGAGAUACCUAAGUUUUUACACUAGAUAGUUAUGUUGGCAACACAGAGAAACCUACAGCGCCACAGUCGGCCGAGCGCGAAAUUGGAUGUUGGAUUGAACAAGUGAUUAUCCCAGCGGUGUUCUAAUCGUAAGUUCAGAUUCGACGGUCAUGGGUUAUGUUAUGUUUAUUGAGAUUGAAUUUGUUUCGCGCUCGGCCCACUGUGGCACUGUAUGUUUCUAUGUGUUGCCAACAUAACUGUCUAGUGUAAAAAAUUAGCCGUCUCAGAUUCAUUGUCCUCCAUUGUACAUCUGGUAGUACUUUACUACAUAUCCGCAUUGAUCUUUGUCAAAGAUAUCGUGGAUUUUGUGCCUUUUGUGGUGAGGAAUUUGAGGGGGUGCCUUGGUCGAUCUUAACGUUGACGUAUAUACCUCCAAAUAUCCAAGUACACGUAUCUCAAACGC